rnacentral:tRNA from 1 species
GUCCCCAUAGUUCAACGGAUAGAACAAAGGACUCCUAAGCCUUAAAUGCAGGUUCAAUUCCUGCUGGGGACA